rnacentral:rRNA from 1 species
AUUGAACGCUGGCGGCAGGCUUAACACAUGCAAGUCGAGCGAGCGGCGGACGGGUGAGUAAUGUCUGGGAAACUGCCUGAUGGAGGGGGAUAAUUACUGGAAACGGUAGCUAAUACCGCAUACCAUCGGAUGUGCCCCGAUGGGAUUAGCUAGUAGGUGGGGUAAAGGUUCACCUAGGCGACGAUCCCUAGCUGGUCUGAGAGGAUGACCAGCCGAAAUGGGACUGAGACACGGCCCAGACUCCUACGGGAGGCAGCAGUGGGGAAUAUUGGACAAUGGGCGCAAGCCUGAUGCAGCCAUGCCGCGUGUAUGAAGAAGGCCUUCGGGUUGUAAAGUUCUUUCAGUGGGGAGGCGUUAUCCAAAGAAGAAGCACCGGCUAACUCCGUGCCAGCCGCCGCGGUAAUAC